GGACCAUCCUCCAAGGCUAAAUACUCCUGACUGACCGAUAGUGAACCAGUACCGUGAGGGAAAGGCGAAAAGAACCCCGGCGAGGGGAGUGAAAAAGAACCUGAAACCGUGUACGUACAAGCAGUGGGAGCACGCUUAGGCGUGUGACUGCGUACCUUUUGUAUAAUGGGUCAGCGACUUAUAUUCUGUAGCAAGGUUAACCGAAUAGGGGAGCCGAAGGGAAACCGAGUCUUAACUGGGCGUUAAGUUGCAGGGUAUAGACCCGAAACCCGGUGAUCUAGCCAUGGGCAGGUUGAAGGUUGGGUAACACUAACUGGAGGACCGAACCGACUAAUGUUGAAAAAUUAGCGGAUGACUUGUGGCUGGGGGUGAAAGGCCAAUCAAACCGGGAGAUAGCUGGUUCUCCCCGAAAGCUAUUUAGGUAGCGCCUCGUGAAUUCAUCUCCGGGGGUAGAGCACUGUUUCGGCAAGGGGGUCAUCCCGACUUACCAACCCGAUGCAAACUGCGAAUACCGGAGAAUGUUAUCACGGGAGACACACGGCGGGUGCUAACGUCCGUCGUGAAGAGGGAAACAACCCAGACCGCCAGCUAAGGUCCCAAAGUCAUGGUUAAGUGGGAAACGAUGUGGGAAGGCCCAGACAGCCAGGAUGUUGGCUUAGAAGCAGCCAUCAUUUAAAGAAAGCGUAAUAGCUCACUGGUCGAGUCGGCCUGCGCGGAAGAUGUAACGGGGCUAAACCAUGCACCGAAGCUGCGGCAGCGACGCUGAUGCGUUGUUGGGUA
rnacentral:rRNA from 1 species